CCUCUGAUAGUGAGGCAAAGGGAGGUCUGUGUCUAGAAGAUGGAAUCCAGCAGGGUGGGCGGGUCAGUCUGAGGCGCACACCCUCCCCAAGGCCCCUUCUGCCCCGUUUACAUAAACCCAGUGGGUGGAUUGGCACUGGUGCCCUCAGAGCCACGGGAGCACUCACAGCUCUGACUGAAGACCCCGCCCUGGUGACCUCCAGCACAGGGGGAAGUUCCGAGUGGCGGUCUUAGCCUGACUCCAUGUCCUAGGCCGAUGUUCUAGCAUGCCUGUCCCCUGCGCGUCUGGGCACCAAAAGAGCAGAGAGGACGACACAGCAGUGGGGUCGGCGGGGAGUCACGUGUCCCUCUGGGAAGGCCCCGGACGCCCUGGGUCUCUGUGGGUGAGGACCUGCGUGACGUUGCGUCCUUCGCAUUGUGAAGGAUGGAGCUUAAAAACAAGUGGGCAGGUGACCCUUGCUUCUGCCACCUGAAGGAUCCCCCUUUUCUGCUUCUCCUGACCGACAGGUGGUGUCAGCAGGAUCUCACCUGCCUGGGCGGCCACUGGCCAUCAGUCAGGGCUUAUGGCCAGUAAACAGAGCACCUGGGCUGCAGGGCCCACGGGGCUCAUGACACGUCGGUCCCAAGUGCAGACCCUGAAGAAUUAGUGCCUCGGCUUCUGUGUGACCUAGAAAUACUAGACCCCGAGCCAGCAUGAAUGCUUUCCAAUGGUGGACACUGGCCAAGACUCUCUGCCCUGAACAUGGCCAAGCCAGACACUCUGAGAAAUACCGCCUUCGCAAUGUCAUGGCUACUCUGCUUUUCCUGCCAGACUGUGGCCAGGCUGAACACUGCCCACUAGAGCAAAGGGCAGUCCUGCAACCCAGGACCCCACCGGCCCACACCAACCCUGCUUGGAGUCCUCGGGUGGCUGGGCGAAACCACAAGUGUCCGCCACUUGCAGA
rnacentral:lncRNA from 1 species